UACUAGAGUAGCACUCGCAUAUCAAUAAGCGGAGGAAAAGAAACUAACAAGGAUUCCCCUAGUAACGGCGAGUGAAGCGGGAAGAGCUCAAAUUUGAAAUCUUAAAGGGUUUCCCUUUACGAAUUGUAGUUUAAAGAAGUGUUUUCUGUUGAGGUUUUGGUAAAAGUUCUUUGGAAUAGGACAUCAUAGAGGGUGAGAAUCCCGUAUUUGACCUUUACUUUCAACUUUGUGAUACACUUUCAAAGAGUCGGAUUGUUUGGGAAUGCAGUCCAAAAUGGGUGGUAAAUUUCAUCUAAAGCUAAAUAUUGGCGAGAGACCGAUAGCGAACAAGUACCGUGAGGGAAAGAUGAAAAGAACUUUGAAAAGAGAGUUAAACGGUACGUGAAAUUGUCAAAAGGGAAGCGUUUGACACCAGUGUUGUUUUUCUGAAAAUCAAUUAAAGAACUGUUUAUGCUAAGUUGUUUAGACUUUAUCAGCUAUCUGUUUAGUUUUGAGCUUUUCUUUAAUGCACUUUUCAGUUAACAAGUCAACAUCAAUUUCUUUUGCUGUAAAAAAGCUUGAGGAAGGUGGCUUGAGAUUCGUCUUAAGUGUUUAUAGCCUCUUGCCUAUGCAGUCGGAGAGAUUGAGGUCUGCAGCGUAGAUCCUUCGGGGCUAAAUGCAUUUGUGCUAAGUUAUAGCAUUUUAUAGACAACUUGUUGACUAUGAUUUGUCUUGUAGCUUACUCGCUUAUGUUAUUUUACCUACGCUUAGGAUGUUGAACUACUGAGACAUAGA
rnacentral:rRNA from 1 species